UGGUUUGCCGGAGUAGCAUCAUCAAGAUUCACAUGCAAGAUGCAAGAUGCAAGAUGCAAUUAAGUAGUGAGAAUCUUGAUGAUGCUGCAUUGGCAAUCCA
rnacentral:miRNA from 1 species